AUUGAACGCUGGCGGCAGGCCUAACACAUGCAAGUCGAGCGAGCGGCGGACGGGGGAGUAAUGUCUGGGAAACUGCCUGAUGGAGGGGGAUAACUACUGGAAACGGUAGCUAAUACCGCACACCAUCAGAUAUGCCCAGAUGGGAGUAGCUAGAAGGUGGGGUAACGGCUCACCUAGGCGACGAUCCCUAGCUGUUCUGAGAGGGUGACCAGCCACACUGGAACUGAGACACGGUCCAGACUCCUACGGGAGGGAGCGGUGGGGAAUAGUGCACAAUGGGCGAAAGCCUGAUGCAGCCAUGCCGCGUGUGUGAAGAAGGCCUUCGGGUUGUAAAGCACUUUCGUCGGGGAGGCGUUACCCGCAGAAGAAGCACCGGCUAACUCCGUGCCAGCAGCCGCGGUAAUAC
rnacentral:rRNA from 1 species